UACGUAGGGGGCGAGCGUUGUCCGGAUUUAUUGGGCGUAAAGAGCUCGUAGGCGGCUUGGCAAGUCGGGUGUGAAACCUCCAGCUUAACCUGGAGACGCACUCGAUACUGCCAUGGCUAGAGUCCGGUAGGGGACCACGGGAAUUCCUGGUGUAGCGGUGAAAUGCGGCAGAUAUCAGGAGGAACACCGGUGGCGAAGGCGGUGGUCUGGGCCGGCACUGACGCUGGAGGAGCGAAAGCGUGGGUAGCAAACAGG
rnacentral:rRNA from 1 species